AUGGCAAGUCUUCUUGAUGGCUGUGCAGGCAGAGUAUGUAGCUGGACGGCAAGGAACCUAAGGUUGCAAGUAGGAGUGGUGAGGGUUGAAGUGAAAGGGGAGAUCGGUGAUAAGUUCCCCAAAAAGGUUGGGCUUAAGCACGAUGAACCAAAUGCUCGGAAUGUGCUUCAUUUCUACGACAGGAUGCUGCGCUGCACACGAUCAGACCUUGACAGGAAAUGGUUCAAACAUGUCUUUAUGACUUUGGUCCUCCUGUGUGAUGAUGAUUUCAUAGCUGAGUUUGGUCCUGAUGGGGGAAUUAACCAAUCUCGGCUGGACAGUAAUUUCAUACAUGUUGAUAUUCAAGGAUGCGAGGAUGUAUGGAUCAUGGAAAAUAAGAUGGAGACAUAUGUUUGA
rnacentral:rRNA from 1 species